GUUUGCCUUCCAUUGACCCUUAAAGUUCCCUGAGCUGCCCUCUGUUCUGGAAGGACCUCAGCUAGUGAGUUUCUGUGCUUCUGUGUCUAUUUCCCUGUCAUAGGCUCCUCAAGGACUGCCCUGCAUUUUGAGUCACCUUUGUAUCAUCAGCAGUUCCUACUGCCCACAUUCAACUUUGUCAAGGGCAUUAUUGUGGAGAGAAGGAUUUCUGGAGAGCAGUCUUGAAGCAGGAAUAGAAAUUUGCUGAGGAUGAAGGGAGUGAGAAAUGUUCCCAGCAUGGAAAGCAGCAUGCAAAGGCUGGGGAGCAUGAAAAAAAAAAAAUAGCUCACUCAGAAAGCUACGAGAAGUGACAAAGCAAGUUCUUUGAUCAUGUAGGUAUAGGGGGGACCCCUGGCAUUCUGUGCUAUUCUAAAGGGUUUCAACUUUCUUCCGAAGGAGAUGGAAAAUUAUUGAGGCUGUUUAGAGCUGGCAGUGACACGAAGCAGGUAUUGCAUAGGCGAGGGGAGUUAUGCGUCCAGGCUGAUGACUAAGUUUCUCUCUUGAGUCUAUGUGUAGGUGAUGGCAAUGCAGCUCCCAGAAGUACCCAAAGAAAAGGCUGCCUGGGAGAAGAUGAUAAUGAGCCACACGUGGAGUAUGUUAAAUUUAAGGACACACGAGAU
rnacentral:lncRNA from 1 species